GCCGGGCACCCGGCGCUGUUCCUCAGGCCCGAGGGAUCCCGGGCAGCCGCGCGCUUGGGCCCGGGGCGGAGUGCUCGCGGGUGUGUCCAUCCGUCCAUCCGCCGCCCCCGCCCGCCCCCUGCGGUGGCUCCCUGCUUGCCCAGCUCGGCGGCCGCGCCCGGCAGAUGCGCGGUGCUUGGUCCCGGCCUCCUGCGCCCCGGGCCUCCCGGCCCCGCCGGCCCCGGGCUGGCGGACGGGACCGAGGCGAGCUCCCCGGCCGCGCUCAACACCUGAGGAAACUGGCGGAAAAGUUUGAGAACGAAAAGUCCAAUCGUCUUUCAGCUUCCGCCCUCCCUAUGACACUUCAGCCACGGUCUUUUCCCUUGGAGAAGACACAGUAGAGGCUGAUUUGGCCACACAGAGGGCUGGUGUGGAAGAGGAAAGCAAUGUCUCUGAUUACUGAAUGCACAGGUCACUAGGAAGAGUGGACCCCUCGUCAGAAACCCUCAGGUCUGAGAGGACAUCUGUUUCGAGGAGCGCAGUGGGUAUAAAUAGAGCAGGAGCCAGCCUCGCUGCUGGACAUAUACUGGACAAAAGAUGUCUCUUCUAUCAGCAGAGUGAUGAUGGUGAAGAUGGUGAUGGAGGUGUAUAUGGAUGGUCAAAACUGGGUGGACAUGUUCCUUCCCCUUUGUACCUGAGUGUGGACACAUGGAGCUUCUGUUUCUUGUUUUUAACCCCGAGAGCAUCAUCCCAGUCUUGUUGCCGGACUGCUCCAGUACUCAAGUCUGAGAUGCUGACUCUGAUGCAUAUCAUUAAAGAAUCAAAGUUUAGUGAAGAGCUUCCACCCACUCCAGACUCCUUUCCACAACCUCUUCCUGGAGUGGGCAUCUCCUACCUUUAUAGGACAAUGUACCACAUUGAAAAAUUUUGCCUUUUCCCCAGCAAGCCACUCCACAGGCUGUCAGACCUGCCUGUUCCUGACAAGGGCUGUUCUUGUCAUGGGCGGACCUCAGUUUCAGGGGGACGGCGAUGA
rnacentral:lncRNA from 1 species